CAGGCAGGCUGGCCUGCGCGCGCACGCAGCAGGCAAACUAGGAAAAGUGGCUGGCUGGAGUGGAGGAGGAGAGGAAGAUCCAUUCAUUUCAACCGACGUAAAUGCUUCCUGGGAUUGUGCCUUGGUAGUUUUACCGAUCAGGAAGGCACGUGCCGGAGAAGGCUGCCAAAGGAGCACAUCAGGAGAACAUACGCGAAGCCUUUCAACUUCUGUAGAAUGCUGUAUAAUGGUGGCUUUUGCUAUUAUUGUGCCAGUUCACUUGUUACAGAAUUUAAGCCAGUUAAUGGAUUGAUUGAUUGAUUGAUUGAUUGAUUGGAUUUAUAUCCUGUCCCAUUAGCCAGAAAGACUCAUAAGUUGGCUGAGGUGCUUGUUACCAAAACCUCAACAUAGAUGAUAUGAUGUCAUUUUCUGAGCUGCUGAAGGAAGUCUUGUGCUGGAUCAACAACAGCCUAACCCAUCUUGGCUGAAGAUGCAGAGCCUUGUAGUACAGUUCUUACUGAGGGGACCAGAUUAGAGAAGGCUGAUCAGCAACAGUGAACAAAUCCACAUGACCAUUUAUUGCAAGAAACAAAAGCUGCCUUUAAUACUUUUUUCAUUCUUUGUUGGCAGCAAUGAUCAUGCUGUAAAAAAAUAAUACUAAACACUGUGAUGACUUCAUUGAUACCAAUGACAGCUUGCAUAUUUAAACCAUAUUGUGGUUAGUGAAUGUGAAUAAUGAAUUUUUGUUUCAAAAAUUGUAUGUGUGAUCAUCGGCACAAUUAACUUGUGGCAGGUGUCUCAUUGAAAACAAUAUGUCAAUUCCUGGUAAGAGUUUUUUGGAUUAGCAUAUUACGGGAGUUUGUUGGAUUCUCGGGUGUGCUCAUAUAUUUGUUUUCAUGUCUACAUCUGUGCCAGAGAGGUAACCAUGUUGGAUUAGCAUGUUCGAAGUUUGCAUCAGAGUUCAUUAAGUAUUUCAUACUUUUUGCAUCUCUGGAAUGAACUUUAUAGAUUAAGCACUAACAUGGUGGGUUGCCAUAUGUGUGAAUGCUAUGUUAGGGAGACUGUAAACAGAUGUUUUCAAAGGAUGUAGGAGAGGUUGUGAAAGAACUGUGUUGCUGACUUGUUUGGAAUAUCAAGCUUCAAGGCUGCAUUCAGGCUGGGCUAAAUACUGUGGCAGCUGGGACUGCAACUUUGGAGUAUCCACCAUUUGCCCUUACAGCUGGUGUGGUUCUUUCCAUGCUGACUGCAGCUCCCAAGUUGAAAGACCGACUCAGAGCUGGCAUGAGCUUGGGGUGGCCUAGGAAAGGGAAGGACAGUCAUACCAAGAGGAAUCCUGGCUGUGUCUCAGCUCCUCCUCCUCAUGAGUGGGGGUAAAACAUUUAGAGUGCAAUCCUGUUUGGCCUCACCUUCAGUGCAUAUAACCUUCUGAUCUCAGAGAUGUACAAACAUCCAACAUACGGUGCAGAAUGUGAUGCUGAUUCUCAUCACUGCCAAGCCUCACACCCUGUAUUUCUCCUAGAUGGCCAGUUUUGGCUGCUUAGAUGAUGUAGGAGGGAGGCAGGCUGGGUGUCCUUUGAAUACAACAUAGACUGUCAGCCCCAGCGAAUAGGACCAGAGUGGAAAAGUAAUGGGUUGCUGAAGGCCCUGAUUUCAUGACUGAGCUGAGAUCUUGAACUGGAGAAAUCAGUCUCACAUCUGAUGUGCUUUUUAAUUGCUAUACUAUGCCUGCUUUCUCAAAGAAAGUAAAUAAAUGGAUGAGCUUUUGCGGCCAACCACACAGACCUGUAUGCUACAGACUAUAUUUUUCUAGGAGCCCAUUAGGCACUGCUACCUUGUGCUAGCAGGACUUGUUGGUAAGAGAUGAGAAAGACAGAUAAAUCUAGAUCUAGAUACCGAGUAUGGGCAUGUGUAUAGGGCUAUGUUUGGUUUGUCCUUCUGCGAUGCACAAACUUGGGGUAUUGGUGAAGCCCAUUGAUAAGGUGUUUCUGUAAGGAACUGGAGUUUUGGUUUCCUGUGCUAGAUUGACAGAUGGGUAUUGUGUAUCGCUGAAAUUAAUUGCAUGGUUCAGUCAGUGAAUCCUCUGAAGGUAGUCUGUGACUAACAACUUCAUAUGCACAGUAUGACUAAGUGUAAUUCAUCUCAUUUGAUAGUCUUUCAGUUUCAUAUUCCAGCAAAGCACGGGACCUGCAACAAAAUGUUGCAGUGUGGAGGAUUAGGAUCUCAGCCAGCCAUGCCCCUUUCAAGGGAGGAUCCUACAUUUCAUUCCCCCUUCUUUUAGCAGCCUUCGGGCAUUCUGUGACCACAGAGCAUACUUAGUCUUCUUUGGGUUGUUUUUGGACCUGUCCCCACUUAGGAAUUUCCCACCUAAUUUCAAGUUUUCCAAGCAGUCUCAGACCAAAUUUUAAUUUCUGCUGUGCAAGAGACAGAUAUUUUCUGUGUUGUAAACAAGCCAGGAGUUAGAAGCCAGGAGUUCUAAGCAUUGUUUGCAUGUUACUAAAAAGUAAGUUUUUGAGUUUUGAAUUGGUUUGUGAUAUUUAAAAAAUUAAUGUCUUCUGUAAUCAUGUGCCAGAGUAAUACUUCCUAAGUGUAGGCAUGUUUUAUUUAAGCUGUUAAUUUUUCCAGAAAUGUUAAUUUUUCAAGAAAUGUACAUUCAGUUCUUUGGUGUAAUACAUUCUUCUGGAUGCCCUGGAUAGGAACCAUAAAUAUUGGUGCAGCUGUC